GACGAACGCUGGCGGCGUGCUUAACACAUGCAAGUCGAACGGAAAGGCCCUGCUUUUGUGGGGUGCUCGAGUGGCGAACGGGUGAGUAACACGUGAGUAACCUGCCCUUGACUUUGGGAUAACUUCAGGAAACUGGGGCUAAUACCGGAUAGGAGCUCCUGCUGCAUGGUGGGGGUUGGAAAGUUUCGGCGGUUGGGGAUGGACUUGCGGCUUAUCAGCUUGUUGGUGGGGUAGUGGCUUACCAAGGCUUUGACGGGUAGCCGGCCUGAGAGGGUGACCGGCCACAUUGGGACUGAGAUACGGCCCAGACUCCUACGGGAGGCAGCAGUGGGGAAUACUGCACAAUGGGCGGAAGCCUGAUGCAGCAACGCCGCGUGCGGGAUGACGGCCUUCGGGUUGUAAACCGCUUUCGCCUGUGACGAAGCGUGAGUGACGGUAAUGGGUAAAGAAGCACCGGCUAACUACGUG
rnacentral:rRNA from 1 species